UGCUUGAAAGUACCUCUCUCAGGAAAGUGGUUCGAAUUAUGUAAUAAAAGUCAGAAAUUGUCUAAGGAGCUGAAUCACAGAGGUCAGGGAGCUGAAGAAUGUGGACAUGAUGGCAGAGAACACUGAUGUUAAUGUGACAGAAAACAACAGAAAGAGCAAAGACUAUCCUCCAGAGUGUGAGUCAUACAUUACCUGUAUUUAUGACAGGAUGCUCUGAAAUAUUCUUUUUCAACAGCACUGUGGUCUUUUCUUCUCUGCAAAUAAUCCUGUUUCAUAUGUAAGUCAUGAUUCACACUGUAAGUUUAGCCCAUAGUGAAAUAUUCUUGCAUAGUCCUGUGUCUUUUCUUUUCUUUUCUAGUCAGUCCCGAAAACACAUCAGUGCCAGUAACAGAAGCCAGUAUCUCAGAUGACUCAAGGUUGAAAUGUUGGUGUUCUGGUGAGUGAAUGUGUAUCUCAAGUCCUUCAUCCUUCAGUUAUAGAAUUGAUGUGCUGAAAAGGCACAAUUUGCAUUUAGUAAUAUUUUUGUAAUCAACAAUUUCCACACAGAGAUUUUCGGUCCAAACCAAAGACCGACGACGAUAUGGAGGGCAAGAUGGAGUGAGAGAACAUAUGAUGAAAUGUUACCUGAAAGAAAGACCUCCAGCAGCACCAUCAGUUCGUGUGACUCAGGAUAUGCUUCAAGAAAAUGCAAAGAGAUUUUCACUCCCAAACAAAGACGGACGAUAUGCAGUGCAGGAUGGGAUGAGAGAACAUGAUGACAUGUGUGAGUAUUCAACUGAUAAUGAAACACAUCACUUAAACUGAGUACAAAGUGACGCUUA
rnacentral:lncRNA from 1 species